rnacentral:misc_RNA from 1 species
GUGAAUAUAAUUAUAUAAAUUAACAUUAUUAUUUUUUUUAACAGGAAAUGCACAAUGCUAAAAACUGCGUAGGAGAUUUUAAUACAAUAGUACUACCAAGCCUGAUGUUGGCCGCUAUUUCAAUGAAUGCAGCAGUGUGACAGCUAGCAAUCAAAAGUAACAAGAUAUCGAGGAAAUGCAGAAGGCAAAAAACUGCAUAGGAGAUCAUUAAUACAAUAGUAUUAUAUAAACCAAGCCUGAUGUUGGCCGCUCAUUCAAAGAAUGCAGCAGUGUGACAGCCAGCAAUCAAAAGUAACAAGAUGUCGAGGAAAUGCAGAGUGUAAUAAACUGUGUAGGAGAUUAUGAUUGCAAUGGAAUAAAAUCGACCAAGCCUGAAGUCCUUCAAUGCACGCAGCAGUGUGACAGCCAGCAAUCAAAAGUUACAAGAUAUCGAGGAAAUGCAGAAGGCAAAGAACUGCGUAGGAGAUUAUUAAUACAAUAGUAUUAUAUCAACCAAGCCUGAUGUCGGUAGCUUCUUCAAUGAAUGCAGCAGUGUGACAGCCAGCAAUCAAUAGUGACAAGAAUUUAGGAAAUACAGAAGGCAAAGAAGCAGAUGUCAUCAAAGAAGAUCUUUGUUCCUGCAAUGUUUCCGCAGACGAUACAUCCAACAGAGCGAAGUGGAAGGAAAAGACUCGGAAAAAAGACCCCACCACCAUAUGGGAACAAUGCAAGGGAGAGAGAGAGAAUAUAAUUUUAUAUUUUUAUUUUUUGAUAACAUAAAAUAAACCAACAAUAUCCUACACAUUUUUUUUAUUUCUUUUUGUGUCUGUCUUAAUAGUUAUUACAAAUCUGUGAUGCGAAACAAACUAUACGAAAACGUCAAUCCACGUACAACGCCCGCGAA